AGUCGAACGGCAGCAUGGACUUCUGUCUGGUGAAGAGUGGCGAACGGUGAGCAAUGUAUCGGAACGUGCCUAGUAGCGGGGGAUAACUACGAAAAGCGUAGCUAAUACCGCACAAUACGCCCUUCUGGGAAAGCGGGGACCUUUCGGGCCUCGCACACGAGCGGCCGAUAUCGGAUUAGCUAGUUGGUGGGCAACGGCUCACCAUACGAUCCGUAAUGGUCUGAGAGGACGACCAGCCACACUGGGACUGAGACACGGCCCAGACUCCUACGGGAGGCAGCAGUGGGGAAUUUUGGACAAUGGGGAAAUCCCUGAUCCAGCUAUCCGGCGUGCGAUGAAGGCCUUCGGGUUGUAAAGCACUUGGCAGAUGAAACGGCACGGGAUAAUACCCCGUAACUGACGGUACCUGCAGAACAAGCACUGGCUAACUACGCUGCAGCCGCGUAAUACGUAGGCAGGGGCGUUAAUCGGAAUUACCGGCGUAAAAGCGUGGCGCAGGCGGUUCGGAAAGAAAGAUGUAACCAGACGCAAAUUUUGGAACUGCAUUUUUAACUACCGAGCUAGAGUGCCGAGGGAGGUGGAAUUCCGCGGAAGUGUUGAAAUGCGUAGAUAUGCGGAGGAACACCGAUGGCGAAGGCAGCUCUCCUGGGAUAACACUGACGCUCAUGCACGAAAGCGUGGGGAGCAAACAGGAUUAGAUACUCCUGGUAGUCCACGUACCCUAAACGAUGUCAACUAAUAUGGGCCUUUUGGCCUGGUAGCGCAGCUAACGCGUGGGAAGUUGACCGCCUGGGGAGUACGGUCGCAAGAUUAAAACCCGUGCGAAUUGACGGGGACCCGCACAAGCGCGGAUGAUGUGGAUUAAUUGAUGCAACGCGAAAACCUUUACCUACCCUUGACAUGUCUGGAAUCCCGAAGAGAUUUGGGAGUGCUCGCAAGAGAACCGGAACACAGGUGCUGCAUGGCUGUCGUCAGCUCGUGUCGUGAGAUGUUGGGUCAAGUCCCGCAACGAGCGCAACCCCGUCAUUAGUUGCUACGAAAGGGCACUCUAAUGAGACUGCCGGUGACAAACCGGAGGAAGGUGGGACACGUCACAAGUCCCCAUGGCCCUUAUGGGUAGGGGCUUCACACGUCAUACAAUGGUCGGGACAGGGUCGCCAACCCGCGAGGGGGAGCCAAUCCCAGAAACCUGAUCGUAGUCUCGAUCGCAGUCUGCAACUCGACUGCGUGAAGUCGGAAUCGCUAGUAAUCGCGGAUCAGCAUGUCGCGGUGAAUACGUUCCCGGGUCUUGUACACACCGCCCGUCACACCAUGGGAGUGGGUUUUACCAGAAGUAGUUAGCCUAACCGUAAGGAGGGCGAUUACCACGGUAGGAUUCAUGGAUCAGGUGAAGUCGUAACAAGGUAAC
rnacentral:rRNA from 1 species